UAAAGACUGGAUGGACCUCUCUUUACCUCU
rnacentral:piRNA from 1 species